UUAAUUGAAACCAAAAUGAGGUGAAUUAUUGUUAAUAAUUUUAAUGAAAUAUUUAAAUUCCAAUUAUA
rnacentral:tRNA from 1 species